AAAGACAGCAAUCUACAAAAAUUUUUCUUUCAAAAAGCGAAUCACAAAACAUGUUUAUAUUAGGCAGGUAGAUGUAACUUCUGGCAGUGACACUAUACUCAUGUAAAAGUAUCAUGUAGGGGCACUCCAGAAUGAGACACAACUUUGGUUUGUACCAAUACCACUUUUUAAACUCUCGCUGGAACCGGACCUAGUCACAACUAGUUCUGAAAGAAAGUUCCUCCCGUUCAGGCAAAAGCAUAUACUCACUUAGGCCUGCCACCACUAUAUUUCUAUUAU